UACGAAGGGGGCUAGCGUUGUUCGGAAUUACUGGGCGUAAAGCGCGUGUAGGCGGGUCUUUAAGUCAGGGGGGAAAUGCCAAGGCUCAACCUUGGAACUGCCUUUGAUACUGGAGACCUUGAGUCCGGGAGAGGUGAGUGGAAUUCCCAGUGUAGAGGUGAAAUUCGUAGAUAUUGGGAAGAACACCAGUGGCGAAGGCGGCUCACUGGCCCGUAACUGACGCUGAGGUGCGAAAGCGUGGGGAGCAAACAGG
rnacentral:rRNA from 1 species